rnacentral:rRNA from 1 species
GAUGAACGCUAGCGGCAGGCUUAACACAUGCAAGUCGAGGGGUAUAGUUCUUCGGAAUUAGAGACCGGCGCACGGGUGCGUAACGCGUAUGCAAUCAGCCUUUCACAGAGGGGAUAGCCCAGAGAAAUUUGGAUUAAUACCUCAUAGUAUUAUAGAGUGGCAUCACUUUAUAAUUAAAGUCACAACGGUGAAAGAUGAGC